GAUUAACGCUGGCGGCGUGCCUAACACAUGCAAGUCGAACGAGGUAGCAAUACCUAGUGGCAGACGGGUGAGUAACGCGUGGUCAACCUUCCCUUUAGUGGGGGAUAACUAGCCGAAAGGUUAGCUAAUACCGCAUACGAUCUAUGAGUGGCAUCACGUAUAGAUGAAAGAAGCAAUUCGCUUAAGGACGGGACCGCGUCCCAUUAGUUAGUUGGUGGGGUAAUGGCCUACCAAGACUCCGAUGGGUAGCUGGUUUGAGAGAGCGACCAGCCACACU
rnacentral:rRNA from 1 species